rnacentral:rRNA from 1 species
CCGGCGACCGGCGGACGGGUGCGUAACGCGUAUGUAACCUACCUUUGACAGGGGGAUAACAUCGAGAAAUUGGUACUAAUACCCCAUAACAUCACCGGAGGCAUCUUCGGUGGUUGAAAACUCAGGUGGUCAGAGAUGGACAUGCGUUGUAUUAGCUAGUUGGUGAGGUAACGGCUCACCAAGGCGACGAUACAUAGGGGGACUGAGAGGUCCAACCCCCCACAUUGGUACUGAGACACGGACCAAACUCCUACGGAAGGCAGCAG